AUAUAUAUAUAUACUAUUUUUAAUAAUUAUGUAGAAUUCACUCCCAUUACAAAUUAUAAAAGAAAGGGCACUAUUUUUGUGUGUGUGAAUAGAGUAUUCUAUAAUCUUUCCCAAAUCAGUGGACAAGCUCAUGCUGCGUGUAGGUGAUAUCAGCAAUUUUUGUGCCUAUAAAGGAGUACAUGCGAACUUGCGAUGGUAAAACAUACCUAGGUAGACUUAAAGAUAGAGAUAUGGCAGGCCAUACCGAUGGAAGCUCUGAGUGUCUUAUCAAGAUUCCAACUAUAAAGUUCACCAAGCUCUUUAUCAAUGGAGAAUUUGUUGAUUCUGUUUCAGGGGAAACAUUUGAGACCAUAGACCCGAGAACUGGAGAUGUGACAGCGAGAAUUGCUGAAGGAGAUAAGGAGGAUGUUGAUUUGGCUGUGAAAGCUGCCCGUGAGGCUUUUGAACAUGGACCGUGGCCCCGAAUGUCUGGUUCUGUAUGGGCUUUAACUUUCUUUAUGCAUUUUUAAAAAAAAAAUAAAUCUCUAAAAACUGGAUACAACUUUUAUGUUCGGUGAUUAGUAUUAUCUAGCACGUUAUGCAUUAGCUUAAUGUUGAUGAUCAAUUUGCUUGUUCUUGAAUGGCGACAGGCAAGGGGAAGGAUUAUGAUGAAAUUUGCGGACUUAAUUGAUCAAAAUAUAGAAGAAUUAGCUGCAUUGGAUACUAUUGACGCUGGAAAAUUAUAUGGCUGGGGCAAAGCAGUGGACAUUCCUUCAGCAGCAAAUCACCUUCGUUACUAUGCUGGUGCGGCAGACAAAAUUCAUGGAGAAGUGCUAAAAAUGUCUCGAGAAUUACAGGGAUAUACCCUACGUGAACCCAUUGGUGUUGUAGGACACAUAAUCCCCUGGAACUUCCCUAGCUCUUUGUUCUUCACCAAGGUUAGCCCAGCCUUAGCUGCAGGGUGCACCAUGGUUGUCAAGCCA
rnacentral:misc_RNA from 1 species